AUAGGAGACAAGAAGGCAUCUUCUUGUUUUUAAAAGACCUAGCAAUAGGUAUGCUUAGGGAGGAGCUUGCGUCACAUUAGUUAGUUGGUGGGGUAAAGGCCUACCGAGACUAUGAUGUGUAGCCGGGCUGAGAGGUUGAACGGCCAUAUUGGGACUGAGACACGGCCCAAACUCCUACGGGAGGCAGCAGUAGGGAAUUUUCGGCAAUGGAGGAAACUCUGACCGAGCAACGCCGCGUGAACGAUGAAGUAUUUCGGUACGUAAAGUUCUUUUAUUAGGGAAGAAUAAAUGAUGGAAAAAUCAUUCUGACGGUACCUAAUGAAUAAGCCCCGGCUAACUAUGUGCCAGCAGCCGCGGUAAUACAUAGGGGGCAAGCGUUAUCCGGAAUUAUUGGGCGUAAAGGGUGCGUAGGCGGUUAAAUAAGUUUAUGGUCUAAGUGCAAUGCUCAACAUUGUGAUGCUAUAAAAACUGUUUAGCUAGAGUAAGAUAGAGGCAAGUGGAAUUCCAUGUGUAGUGGUAAAAUGCGUAAAUAUAUGGAGGAACACCAGUAGCGAAGGCGGCUUGCUGGGUCUUUACUGACGCUGGGGCACGAAAGCGUGGGGAGCAAACAGGAUUAGAUACCCUGGUAGUCCACGCCGUAAACGAUGAGUACUAAACGUUGGGUAAAACCAGUGUUGAAGUUAACACAUUAAGUACUCCGCCUGAGUAGUACGUACGCAAGUAUGAAACUUAAAGGAAUUGACGGGACUCCGCACAAGCGGUGGAUCAUGUUGUUUAAUUCGAAGGUACCCGAAAAACCUCACCAGGUCUUGACAUGCUUCUGCAAAGCUGUAGAAACACAGUGGAGGUUAUCAGUUGCACAGGUGGUGCAUGGUGGUCGUCAGCUCGUGUCGUGAGAUGUUGGGUUAAGUCCCGCAACGAGCGCAACCCUUAUUGUUAGUUGCCAGCACGUAAUGGUGGGGACUUUAGCAAGACUGCCAGUGAUAAAUUGGAGGAAGGUGGGGACGACGUCAAAUCAUCAUGCCCCUUAUGACCUGGGCUACAAACGUGAUACAAUGGCUGUUACAAAGGGUAGCUGAAGCGCAAGUUUUUGGCGAAUCUCAAAAAAACAGUCUCAGUUCGGAUUGAAGUCUGCAACUCGACUUCAUGAAGUUGGAAUCGCUAGUAAUCGCGAAUCCAGCAUGUCGCGGUGAAUACGUUCU
rnacentral:rRNA from 1 species